AGAGAAACACAGGCUCCAUCCAGCUUCUUCAUGGUUCUUUCAUGUCUGCUGCCUGUCCCACUGCACCAGCAGCUUGUCACCUUUUAAGUCAGAAGCAGUGAAUGUGCUGGCAGAUGAAAUCCAACCCAGAUCACUCAGUACUUUGGUGGGAAAUCUGACAAGUACUAGCUUAUGGUAAAAAGCCCUACUAGUAUUUGUAGAGAGAAGAAAGGUUGAACUCAAAUCCCAGCUCAACCUGAGUUCUUUGACUUGUUUCCUCCCCAACUUCAAUCAUGUCCUCCCUCAGAUAGAAUAGGUCUGUUUCUAGAAAAGAGACCUUAAUAAAGUUUUCUCCCUUUUGAUGCUUCUUUGUCUUCUCCCCAGUUCUCUCUCUUCACUGCUGUCCAUAAGCACUAUAGCCUCGUUCAGUGGCAAGAGUUUGCUGGCCAGAAUCCUGACUGUCUUGAGCAUCUGGCUGCCAGCUCAGGCACAGGCUCUUCUGACUUUGAGCAGCUGGAACAGAUCCUGGAAGCUAUUCCCCAGGUGAAGUAUAUAUGCCUGGAUGUGGCAAAUGGCUACUCUGAACACUUUGUUGAAUUUGUAAAAGAUGUACGGAAGCGCUUCCCCCAGCACACCAUCAUGGAUGCUGUAUUUCAAUUGCUCUGUCUCAGGCAGGGAAUGUGGUAACAGGAGAGAUGGUAGAAGAGCUCAUCCUUUCUGGGGCUGACAUCAUCAAAGUGGGAAUUGGGCCAG
rnacentral:lncRNA from 1 species